UUCUGGGAAUGGUGUUCUCUCACAGCAUCAUUCUGAAUGAUCACUUUCCAGAGAUACAAGAGGUUAGUCUUUCCAAUGAACUGUAUGGUGACGGACAAGGCCAGUGGUUCCAAGGGCAGGAGACUGGUGCUACCUUUGGGCCUCGGAGAAACAUUAGGAUCAAGAGCACAGCUACUGGAGCCAGACUGCUUGGAUCUGAAGUUAAUUCUGCUACCAGCUAUGUAUAAUAAUUAACAGCAAUCUCCUUAUUCUCAAAAAUACAUGAUCAACCUACUGAUGGGUCAGAUAAAAUUAAAGUUGAAAUGUACAAGUGGUAGCCGUAGCAAGACAAAUUUUGGCAGACUGUUGAAGACGGAAGCCUGGUUGGAAGGGUUUACAAAAGUGGAUGACAACAAGUGGAGACAGUUAGAUGAUUAUUUUGAAGACUUGUGCUACAAGAAAGAGAAGAAAUGAGUUCAUAGGUCAUCCCCCCAUAAUGAACCAAGUUGAUAUUUGAGGAUUGGACUGUGCAGCACUCAGAGUUCUUGAACCUUGAGGUGAAUGCAGGACCUGCCUGGGAUUGGUGUCCUCUCUCUUGGGGAGCAGAUUCUCUCCUGCAUGUUCUGUUCGCUGGAAUCAAAGCAAAAGGAAAGCUCACACAUUGAGAAAAGAUUCCAAUAAAAGGAUAUCUGCUAUUCUUCCAUAUGUCCUAUGAGUUGGAAAUUGAAGAAUGCAACGGAAAGCAAGAUGAACGAGGCAAGACUGUGUAGCCGUCAAUCCUGGAUCCAGGGAGCCAUUACUGACUGAGUUAGAGACAUCCCUGCCACGCAGCACUUAGAUUUAUAACUCUGAGCAAAGGUUUCAACAAAUAAGAUUUCUUCACUCCAAAGUCCAUCUAUGUGUGCUCCCUGAAAUAAGAGAGCAUUUCUGUCUGCUGGUGUCUAAUCCCAGGAGCCUUGGCAGCAGAGGCAGGAGAGUUCCAAAAGGUCUUCUUAUAGCUCUGGAGAUAAUGACCAGCUCAAACAAGCUGGCGCCGCACGGGGAUACCCAUGGACCUUAUUUAUCUCUCUCUCUCCCAGUCCCCCUGCCCCCCUCAGGCUGACAUAGUGUCUGUACUGACACAGGCAGUCCAGAAAAAAGAAACUGUGUCUUUUAUAACUUUUACUUAAGUGGGAUAAAUGGAAUGAUCAUAACUGAAAGAUUUGUUGAAAACAUACUUCCUAUCCAGAAAAUCCAUUGUAAUGUUGCAAUUAAAAAGUUCUACUCAGAGCAAGAG